AACCUCAUCAACCGGAAGGAAUUCCUUCCGGUUGAUGAGUUCAAUCUUCCUCAUCAACCGGAAGGGAUCCCUUCCGGUCGAUGAGGGA
rnacentral:miRNA from 1 species